rnacentral:lncRNA from 1 species
AAGAUGAUGUCAGGAUGAGGAUGAAACUCCUCUUCACAUUUUGUGUGAAUGUAUGGCCUUUUUAGGGCUAAGAUAUGAUCAUCCUGGGUUGCAUUUUCCUGCAUCAGAUCUUUUUACAGUCUCAUUUGAAGAAGAUACUGUAUUUCAUGAUUAAGAUGGGACUUCUUAUGAGAUAAUCCUGAUAGGGAUGCACAAUAGGCCAUUGGUGGUUGUGGUGCUAGGGCUGUGUAAUGCCCCCUUUCCUACAUCUACAUCUAUAGCAGACACACUCAAGAAUGUAGCCAAUCUAAUCUGUUAUGAAUCAUAUUUUAUAUUUCAGGAUAAGUUUUAUAGACAACAGCAAAAAGUACCUAUCAGGAGUAUGAUAGUGGGUGUCCUAACUGAAAUUCUGUUACCUCAUAUAGAAGAAAGAAUUUUAAUAAACUUUAAUGCCUCUAUAAAAUUUUGAGAUAAGAUACAUUGACACCUUUUAUUAUUUGGUUGGACCAAGAUAGGAUGGCUGACUUACAAAAAAUCUUUGCUAAUGUAAAUGUUGGUUUCACACUUAAACUAAAUCAAAAAAGCAUUAAUGAAAUGCAUUUCCUAAAUAUAAAUUUACAAACAGUAUAGAAUAGUUAUAUUAGAAAAGUAUUUAGGAAGCAUAUAUAUAUAUACACAUCAAUUUUAAUACCACUAUGGUCAAACAACCUACCUGAAUCUAAGAGAGCAUCAUUUACAUCCUUUUCAAACAGCUAUUUACUCAUUGCAUGCAAGACUUUGAUAGAAAACAAUAAUACCAUAGGAUUGUGUGUGAUGAUAGGAAAUAUGACUAUAUGCACAAUAUGUGCAGGCCAUUUACAUGAAAGUUGUAGAAAUUAUGAACAAUAUUGACAGUUUUACCACCCAAAAUCUGAAACUAACAGUUAAAUAGAUGCAAUACAUGAUAGGAUGCUGGUUCUCUAUUCCCAUACAAACUUAUAGUUUAGUUUUAAAAAAAUUACUAAGAAGGGUGCUGGCAACUAGCAUAAAAAUGUAAUCCACAUAGUAUUUAUCAUCUUAUGUAAUGAUAAGAAUAUAGACAGGGUUUUAUAUUGUCAUUUGCCAUAUCAGGGUUUUAUAUUGUCCUGUUUUAAAAUAAUAGCUUGUGUAGAACAGAGGAAUAUAUGGAGGUAACCAAACAUAAUCUUAAGGAUAGAGUCAAUGAGAUUAAAAAUGAUCUUAGGUUGGGCAAAAAUGAUAACAGUUCUCCAAAAAGUUUAUCUAAUAUGACUUAAACAUUGAAUGAGACAAAACUGAAAUAGUUAAGCAUCUGAUAUAAGCUAAACAUUGUUUCCUCAAAGAACCUUUAGUGAUAGAAGAAAAAAAUGAAACAUCAUAAAUGACCAGCCUCUGGAAAGCCUUGUUCUCCAGCCUUGUUCUCAAAAAUUUGGUUGUUUGCUAUUAUGAAUAAUCUGAAGAUCUCUUUACUUUAACUACUACUAUCCACCUUAUUUUAAUUUUUAAAUAAAAUUGAAGCACUUACUGCAGUAUAGGAAAAAACUUUAAUCUAUAAAUGAACAAACAUUUUGGCAUAUUAUGCCAUCAUCGGGUUUGAUUCUGUUUUGAAUUUUCAAAUUUCAAUAGAACAUAAAUUUA